AGUGAACGCUGGCGGUAGGCCUAACACAUGCAAGUCGAACGGCAGCACAGUAAGAGCUUGCUCUUACGGGUGGCGAGUGGCGGACGGGUGAGGAAUACAUCGGAAUCUACUUUUUCGUGGGGGAUAACGUAGGGAAACAUACGCUAAUACAGCAUACGACCUACGGGUGAGAGCAGGGGAUAUUCGGACCUUGCGCGAUUGAAUGAGCCGAUGUCGGAUUAGCUAGUUGGCGGGGUAAAGGCCCACCAAGGCGACGAUCCGUAGCUGGUCUGAGAGGAUGAUCAGCCACACUGGAACUGAGACACGGUCCAGACUCCUACGGGAGGCAGCAGUGGGGAAUAUUGGACAAUGGGCGCAAGCCUGAUCCAGCCAUACCGCGUGGGUGAAGAAGGUCUUCGGGUUGUAAAGCCCUUUUGUUGGGAAAGAAAAGCAGCAGGUUAAUACCCCGCUGUUCUGACGGUACCCAAAGAAUAAGCACCGGCUAACUUCGUG
rnacentral:rRNA from 1 species